rnacentral:rRNA from 1 species
UAAGCGAGCCGUAGCGAAAGCGAGUCUUAACAGGGCGUUGAGUUCGUGGCAUUCGGACGUGAAGCGGGUUGAUCUAUUCUCGGCCAGGUUGAAGCGUAGGUAAAACUACGUGGAGGACCGAACCAGUGUUGGUUGAAAACAGCUUGGAUGAGCUGAGAAUAGGGGUGAAAGGCCAAUCAAAACCCGUGAUAGCUCGUUCUCCCCGAAAUACCUUUAGGGAUAGCCUCAAGUAUGUUCACGAGCGGUAAAGCACUAUUUGAGCUAGGGGCCUUACCCGGCUACCAAACUCAGAGAAACUCUGAAUGCUCGUGAAAUGAGCUUGGGAGUCAGACGGUGGGGGCUAAGCUCCAUCGUCGAGAGGGAAACAGCCCAGAUCAAUGGCUAAGGUCCCGGAGUUGCAGCUAAGUGGGAAAGGAUGUGAAAACGCCUAAACAGCUAGGAGGUUGGCUUAGAAGCAGCCAUCCUUUAAAGAAAGCGUAAUAGCUCACUAGUCGAGCGUUUUUGCACCGAUAAUGUAACGGGGCUCAAGCUGCACACCGAAGCCUUGAACUCCAGUUGGAGUGGUAGGGGAGCAUUCUCGAGCUGCGAAGCCGAACUGAGAAGUCGGAUGGAGCGUCGAGAAAAGACUUUGCCAGCAUAAGUAGCGAUAACGGCUGUGAGAAUCGGCCGCGCCGUAAGCCUAAGGUUUCCUGAGUAAAGUUCGUCUGCUCAGGGUUAGCCGAUCCCUAAGGAAAAGCCGAAAGGCGUAUUCGAUGGGUGUCCGGUGAAUAUUCCGGAGCUGAAACCAAGCGCUUGAGCAUGGGGUGACGCAUCUUCAAGGGAUAGACUACUGAUGGAAUAGUAGUUGAACUGUCUUGGCUUGAUCCGCAGGCAAAUCCACGGAUCGCAAGAGUUGGGACGGGGACGAGCGCCCUGCUUCGGCAGGGUACAAGUAUCCGGAGAAGGUGCCAAGAAAAACCUCGUUUGCGAGCUUGGCUUUCAAUCGUACCGCAAACCGACACAGGUAGGCGAGGAGAGUAUCCUAAGGCGCGUGUGAGAACACUCGUUCAGGAACUCGGCAAAUUGACCCCGUAACUUCGGGAGAAGGGGUGCCUGCAUUUUGCAGGCCGCAGAGAACAGCAUCAGGCGACUGUUUACUAAAAACACAGGUCUCCGCAAAGUCGUCAAGACGACGUAUGGGGGCUGACGCCUGCCCAAUGCUGGAAGGUCAAGAGGAGGGGUGAGAUCAUAUCAGGCCCCGAAUUGAAGCCCCAGUGAAUGGCGGCCGUAACUAUAACGGUCCUAAGGUAGCGAAAUUCCUUGUCGGGUAAGUUCCGACCCGCACGAAUGGCGUAACGAUCUGAUGACUGUCUUAACGAGUGGCACAGCGAAUUUGUAGUACCGGUGAAGAUGCCGGUUGCCCGCAUCAAGACGGAAAGACCCCGUGCACCUUUACUACAGCCUGAUAUUGAACUGAAAAGCUUUUUGCGCAGGAUAGGUGGGAGACUGCGAAGCUGGGCCUCCGGGUUCAGUGGAGUCGCCGGUGAGAUACCACCCUGAAAGCUUUUGAGUUCUAAUCUACCCGUACGGGAGUGACAGUGUCAGGUGGGUAGUUUGACUGGGGCGGUCGCCUCCUAAAAAGUAACGGAGGCUCCCAAAGGUUGGCUCAAGGUGUUUGGAAAUCACCUGUAGAGUGCAAAGGCAUAAGCCAGCUUGACUGUGAGACAGACAAGUCGAACAGAGACGAAAGUCGGGCUUAGUGAUCCGGCGGUUCCGGAUGGGAGGGCCGUCGCUCAAAGGAUAAAAGGUACGCCGGGGAUAACAGGCUGAUCGCCGCCAAGAGUCCACAUCGACGCGGCGGUUUGGCACCUCGAUGUCGGCUCAUCGCAUCCUGGGGCUGAAGAAGGUCCCAAGGGUUCGGCUGUUCGCCGAUUAAAGCGGUACGUGAGCUGGGUUUAGAACGUCGCGAGACAGUUCGGUCCCUAUCUGGUGUGGGCGUUGGAAGUUUGACGGAGGCUGACCCUAGUACGAGAGGACCGGGUUGGACCAACCUCUGGUGUACCUGUUGUUGCGCCCGCAGCACCGCAGGGUAGCCAAGUUGGGUAUGGAUAAGCGCUGAAAGCAUAUAAGCGCGAAGCCAGUCCGAAGAUAAGACUUCCCCAUCAGGUUGGUAGAAGACUACUACGUUGAUAGGCGAGAGGUGUAAGUGCAGUAAUGCAUUGAGCUGACUCGUACUAAUAACCGAUCGGCUUAACCAC